rnacentral:misc_RNA from 1 species
UGGUCCAGUGCCAUAUGUUUCUUCAAACAGACUCCUCAAAACCAUUUGUUAUUUUCAAAGAUGUCAGAGAGGAAAAAAAGAAAAUACGAUUUGUAGUGACCACAAUAGACUGAGCACAAAGAGUAUAUAGAGGACAGUACACGCUAUGUCUGACUAUGCUGUCAUAUGAACAGACCUGUGUAUAUUGUGAUUUACUCCAGUGAUAUAUCAUCCGAGGCCAAAGACACAUGAAUUAAUCCCGGGCUGUCUAGACGGCAGCCCAGAGUAACAUCCAAGUGCUAGAGUGGAGAGUCAAAUCGGCAAAAAUCGGCAAGUCCGAGUUCCACUCUCUUUCCCUGCAUGUUUCUGUCGACGAUCAUGUAGACUGCAUGUUUAGAAGAAAAGGAAAAAAAAAAAGUCAUAAGACAACUCUGAUUUGCUUGAAGGUUUAUGUUUCUCUGUUUAAUUCAUGUGUAAAGUUAUGUGUGUGUAUAUAUAUAUAUAUUCAUCGUUCUGUGUUAGACAUGAUGGUGAUAUUGAAGCGUUUUAUUGUACGAUACAUGUAUGUGUUUAUAAUUCUGACGAAGAUAUAAACUGGAUGGCAAAAUGUUAAAUCAUAGUAAUC